AGCAGCCGCGGUAAUUCCAGCUCCAAUAGCGUAUAUUAAAGUUGUUGCAGUUAAAAAGCUCGUAGUUGAAUUUCAGGGUUAGUAGGUUGGUCGUGCCACUGGUAUGUACUGGCUUUACUGAUCCCUCCUUCUUGUAGAACCGUAAUGCCAUUAACUUGGUGUUGCGGGGAAACAGGACUGUUACUUUGAAAAAAUUAGAGUGUUUAAAGCAGGCUAACGCUUGAAUACAUUAGCAUGGAAUAAUGAAAUAGGACGCUCGAUCCUAUUUUGUUGGUUUCUAGGAUUGACGUAAUGAUUAAUAGGGAUAGUUGGGGGCAUUAGUAUUCAAUUGUCAGAGGUGAAAUUCUUGGAUUUAUUGAAGACUAACUACUGCGAAAGCAUUUGCCAAGGAUGUUUUCAUUAAUCAAGAACGAAAGUUAGGGGAUCGAAGACGAUCAGAUACCGUCGUAGUCUUAACCAUAAACUAUGCCGACUAGGGAUCGGAUGAUGUUAAUUUUUUAAUGACUCAUUCGGCGCCUUA
rnacentral:rRNA from 1 species